CCUACGGGAGGCAGCAGUGAGGAAUAUUGGUCAAUGGACGAGAGUCUGAACCAGCCAAGUAGCGUGAAGGAUGACUGCCCUAUGGGUUGUAAACUUCUUUUAUAUGGGAAUAAAACGUUCCACGUGUGGGAUUUUGUAUGUACCAUAUGAAUAAGGAUCGGCUAACUCCGUGCCAGCAGCCGCGGUAAUACGGAGGAUCCGAGCGUUAUCCGGAUUUAUUGGGUUUAAAGGGAGCGUAGGUGGAUUGUUAAGUCAGUUGUGAAAGUUUGCGGCUCAACCAUAAAAUUGCAGUUGAAACUGGCAGUCUUGAGUACAGUAGAGGUAGGCGGAAUUCGUGGUGUAGCGGUGAAAUGCUUAGAUAUCACGAAGAACUCCGAUUGCGAAGGCAGUUCACUGGACUGCAACUGACGCUGAGGCUCGAAAGUGUGGGUAUCAAACAGGAUUAGAUACCCCAGUAGUC
rnacentral:rRNA from 1 species